rnacentral:snoRNA from 1 species
AAGACUAUACUUUCAGGGAUCAUUUCUGUAGUUGGUCACUAGAGGAGAGUGAUCGCUCUUGGACGGCGUCACAAGCCACGAGGAGGAGCGAGGUGCUGUCUCCUGAGCGCGAGGCGGGCGGGCGGGGGUGCUUGGGCAG